rnacentral:rRNA from 1 species
GUUCCAGCAGCCGCGGUAAUACGAAGGGGGCUAGCGUUGUUCGGAUUUACUGGGCGUAAAGCGCAUGUAGGCGGGUCGUUAAGUUGGGGGUGAAAUCCCGAGGCUCAACCUCGGAACUGCCUUCAAAACUGGCGACCUGGAGCGUGAUAGAGGCGAGUGGAAUUCCGAGUGUAGAGGUGAAAUUCGUAGAUAUUCGGAGGAACACCAGUGGCGAAGGCGACUCGCUGGAUCAUUGCUGACGCUGAGAUGCGAAAGCGUGGGGAGCAAACAGGAUUAGAUACCCGCGUAGUCC